GAGGUAACGGCUCACCAAGACGACGAUGACUAGGGGUUCUGAAAGGAUGAUCCCCCACACUGGUACUGAGACACGGACCAGACUCCUACGGGAGGCAGCAGUGAGGAAUAUCGCGCAAUGGAGGCAACUCUGACGCAGCCAUGCCGCGUGCAGGAGGACGGCCCUACGGGUUGUAAACUGCUUUUCUUAACUAAGAACCGUGGAUAAUCUUAUCCACCUGACUGGUUUUGGAAUAAGCAUCGGCUAACUCCGUGCCAGCAGCCGCGGUAAUACGGAGGAUGCAAGCGUUAUCCGGAUUCACUAGGUUUAAAGGGUGCGUAGGCGGAAUAAUAAGUCAGUGGUGAAAUCUUGCGGCUCAACCGUAAAAUUGCCAUUGAUACUGUUAUUCUUGAGUAUGGUUGAGGUAGGCGGAAUGAGUAAUGUAGCGGUGAAAUGCUUAGAUAUUACUCAGAACACCGAUUGCGUAGGCAGCUUACCAAGCCAUCACUGACGCUGAGGCACGAAAGCGUGGGUAGCAAACAGGAUUAGAUACCCUGGUAGUCCACGCCGUAAACGUUGAUUACUCGUUGUUGGCAAUACACCGUCAGCGACUGAGCAAAAGCAUUAAGUAAUCCACCUGGGGAGUACGUCAGCAAUGAUGAAACUCAAAGGAAUUGACGGGGGCCCGCACAAGCGGAGGAACAUGUGGUUUAAUUCGAUGAUACGCGAGGAACCUUACCUGGGCUUAAAUGUUUAGUGAUCGACCGGGAGACCGGUUUUUCCUUCGGGACACUUUACAAGGUGCUGCAUGGUUGUCGUCAGCUCGUGCCGUGAGGUGUCGGGUUAAGUCCCAUAACGAGCGCAACCCCUAUCGCCAGUUGCCAGCACAUAAUGGUGGGAACUCUGGUGAAACUGCCGGUGCAAACCGUGAGGAAGGUGGGGAUGACGUCAAAUCAGCACGGCCCUUAUGUCCAGGGCUACACACGUGUUACAAUGGUCGGUACAACAGGAUGCCCAUCCGCAAGGAUGAGCUAAUCCCAAAAGCCGAUCUUAGUUCGGAUCGGAGUCUGCAAUUCGACUCCGUGAAGUUGGAUUCGCUAGUAAUCGCAGAUCAGCCAUGCUGCGGUGAUACGUUCCCGGGCAUUGUACACACCGCCCGUCAAGCCA
rnacentral:rRNA from 1 species